UAGGGAAUAUUGCACAAUGGGGGAAACCCUGAUGCAGCGACGCCGCGUGAGUGAUGAAGGCCUUCGGGUCGUAAAGCUCUGUCGUAUGGGACUAACAAAAUGAAGGUACCAUGCAAGAAAGGAUCGGCUAACUUCGUGCCAGCAGCCGCGGUAAUACGAAGGGGGCUAGCGUUGUUCGGAUUUACUGGGCGUAAAGCGCGUGUAGGCGGAUUUGUAAGUUGGGGGUGAAAUCCCGAGGCUCAACCUCGGAACUGCCUCCAAAACUACAAGUCUGGACCUAAGUAGAGGCAAGUGGAAUUGCGAGUGUAGCGGUGAAAUGCGUAGAUAUCAAGAGGAACACCUGAGGCGAAGGCGGGUUGCUAGGCUGAUACUGACGCUGAGGCGCGAAAGCUAGGGUAGCAAACGGGAUUAGAUACCCCAGUAGUCCCUGAGCGGGCUGGCAAGGCGCAU
rnacentral:rRNA from 1 species